UACGUAGGUGGCAAGCGUUGUCCGGAAUUAUUGGGCGUAAAGCGCGCGCAGGCGGCCUCUUAAGUCUGAUGUGAAAGCCCCCGGCUCAACCGGGGAGGGCCAUUGGAAACUGGGAGGCUUGAGUAUAGGAGAGAAGAGUGGAAUUCCACGUGUAGCGGUGAAAUGCGUAGGAGAUGUGGAGGACACCAGUGGCGAAGGCGACUCUUUGGCCUA
rnacentral:rRNA from 1 species